CUCAAAGGAAUUGACGGGGCCGCACAAGCGGUGGAGUAUGUGGUUUAAUUCGAUGCAACGCGAAGAACCUUACCUGGUCUUGACAUCCCGGAGACCCUUAGGAAACUAGGGGGUGCUUCCAUCUGGAAGAAUCUGGAGACAGGUGCUGCAUGGCUGUCGUCAGCUCGUGUCGUGAGAUGUUGGGUUAAGUCCCGCAACGAGCGCAACCCUUGCCUUUAGUUGCCAGCAGUUCGGCUGGGCACUCUAAAGGGACUGCCGGUGUUAAACCGGAGGAAGGUGGGGAUGACGUCAAGUCCUCAUGGCCUUUAUGACCAGGGCUACACACGUACUACAAUGGCCGAUACAAAGGGCAGCGACACUGCGAGGUGAAGCCAAUCCCGUAAAAUCGGUCUCAGUCCGGAUUGGAGUCUGCAACUCGACUCCAUGAAGUUGGAAUCGCUAGUAAUCGUGGAUCAGCAUGCCACGGUGAAUACGUUCCCGGGCCUU
rnacentral:rRNA from 1 species